GUGCCCCUUUCGGCGGCACGUAUACUAAAAUUGGAAGGAUACAGAGAAGAUUUGCAUGGCCCCAGCGCAAGGAUGACAUGCAAAUUUGUGAAGAUUUCCAUAUUUUU